UGGAAAAGGGCGUAUGGGGAAUGCCUAGGCUCUCAGAGGCGAAGAAGGACGUGAUAAGCUGCGAAAAGCUGCGGGGAUCGGCACACACGAUAUGAUCCGCAGGUAUCCGAAUGGGGCAACCCGUUAUAUUGAAGGUAUAACAUCCGCAAGGAGGCAAACCCGGGGAACUGAAACAUCUAAGUACCCGGAGGAAAGGACAUCAAUUGAGACUCCCUUAGUAGCGGCGAGCGAACGGGGACCAGGCCUGGUCUGAAAUAAAGCAAAGCAUCUGGAAAGUUGCGCCAUAGUGGGUGAUAGCCCCGUAGCUGUAAAAUGAAGACCUUUUUGAGUAGGGCGGGACACGUGAAAUCCUGUCUGAAUAUGGGGGGACCAUCCUCCAAGGCUAAAUACUCGUAAUCGACCGAUAGUGAACAAGUACCGUGAGGGAAAGGCGAAAAGAACCCCGGGAGGGGAGUGAAAUAGAACAUGAAACCGUGAGCCUACAAGCAAUGGGAGCCCUACUAAUAGGGUGACCGUGUGCCUGUUGAAGAAUGAGCCGGCGACUUAUAGGCACUGGCGGGUUAAACCGGAAAUGGUGGAGCCAUAGCGAAAGCGAGUCUGAAUAGGG
rnacentral:rRNA from 1 species